rnacentral:sRNA from 1 species
GCUAGGCGUGGUGGCACGUGCCUGUAAUCCCAGCAACUGGGGAGGCAGAGGCAGGAGGAUCACGGGUUCAAAGCCAGCCUCAGCAAAAACCUAGGUACUAAGCAACUCAGUGAGACCCUGUCUCUA